UUUGACAUUUUAAUAAUUAUCCAAAUGUGUUAAUUUUAAUAAACUAAAAGUAUGUGCUAUUUAGGAACUUCAUAUCCUACCAUUAUUCUGUUGGUACAUAAAUGUUGCUGGUGGUGAUGGCCUCAGCUGCUUUGGUGUGGGACAUAAGGUGGGGGAAAUUUUCCUUGAUUUGAGGAAUGCAUCAGUCAGGGUCUGUGGAUACAUAGGAGAGAAUGAUAGUAUGAACUGUGGUACUUGCAUCAAAGUGGUAUGGACACAUGACAUUGUCUGAGGCACAAUGUGAAUUUUACGAAUCCCAUUGUCUUUCACCACCUGAGACAUAUAACCAGAAGGAAGGUAUAUAGGUGGCAGAGUACCACUUGGUGACAUCAGAGGUACAUAGGCAGCCUGUUGAAUAUUCUGAAUGUUCCCAUCUUUAGGGUUGAUAGCAAGAGUCUCCCCAGGAAUAACUUGUACCAAUAUAAUAUGUUGUAUCCAGUAUUGAGGAAAGGAAGGCCAUCUGGCAUCUCUCUCGGGAUGCCAUCAUUUGUGAAUAAUUAGUAGUCUGCUGGGUUGCAAUGGUGGUGUUCACAGGAUAGCUCUCCAUGUCCUCAAAUGGGCCCAAGCAGCCUUAUAACCUCCAUUCACUUGUUCAUAAAAUGAUUCUCCACAUGACAGAGCUGAACAGCAACCAAUGGCCAAGCCCUGCAGGAAUAUAAACAAAUAACAUGUAGUCAUAUGUAUUUUGUGUGUGAGAUAAGCAGAGGGUUUAUCUUCUGGGCAUCUGUUUCAAAGUGUGAGAUGUUUGACUUCCUCCAAAAUCUUUUUCAGCAGACUGGCUUACAUGAGGCCCAGUCAGCAGGUGACUGCUUCCUGCUUCUGCCACACAACCCAAGCCCUGUUCUGGUGGUAUCCGGAAGUGCCCCAAUGGCAGUCAAAUCUGAGGCACUGGGCCAGGAAAUGAAUGAUGAAGGUGAAUGCUAUCAAUGAAGCACCUAUCCACCUGUAUGGUAUGAAGGAAAAGCAUUCUGAGGUGAUAAAAAGGUGUUACAUUGUGCGACACAGAGAUUGGAAAGCUGCAGUUCAUACAUAAGAUGAAGCAUUCAAACAGAACUGAGAAGUAAGAUAUUGGUGGUCAAGAUUGUAUAAAGGAAAGUGUGAGUGGUGGCGUAGGGUUCCAGUGAAUUUUGGAAAUUUCAUGUGAGCUCAUGUAAGCAGACACUGGGAAGACAUUCUCUGAAACAGACUCUGAAUUUGAGGACAUCAGUUGGAGCCCCUCUCUUUUGCCCAGUGUGGCUCUGGGAUUUUACCUCUGUCGUUUUGUGCACAGUGAGAUAAGGACAGGAAGAGUCCCUUCAUCUGGCUUUCAGAACUGGACAAAGACAUCCCACAUUACAGCUGAAGGAGAGUGAUACCUCUACUGUAGGAGUACUCUCAAGAACAAGAAUUUCUGCUCAUAUUGGGACACUCCUGUAUUCUAAAAAUUACCACAGAUGAAAUUAGGACAGAAGACCUCAGCUGCAGAGCCUCAGGGAAGAAAGCUUCCAGGUUCCCCCAUGGAUGAGUGGACAGCUGGUCAAAAGAUGUAAGAUGGAGUAGUAUUAAAGUGGCUUGAUUCAGACAAAAAUAUGAUAAUUAUUAUAUUUUAAUGGUGAAUUACCCUUGUGAACUUUAAUGCUUCUAAUCUUCAAAAUUUAGGAUGUAUCCCUGAUUCUAACUUUUUCUGAACAAAAAUACAGACAUCCCAGAAGGGAGAUUAUUUUGCUUCUGCCCCUCUUUAGCAUACCUUCUUUUUCAGAUAAUUAUAUAUGUUUCACAUAUAAAUAUAUGAUAAUUGAAUGCUACAGAAUAUUGUAUCUUGUAGGACAGCAUAAUUGUUUUUUGCACAUCUGUUUAUGAAGGUGCUAAUUUUCUGAUUUCUACUGUAAUGCUACAGAAAAUAGGAUUACAUUGCAUAGAUCUUUAAUAGAAGGUAGAUAUUAGGUCAUAGAUCAUUGCAUUAUUGUUAAAGCAAAAGAUUUGAAAAGUUUAGCUGGUUCCACCAAGGCGAUGCAACUGAUUAAGUAUUUUAGGCAUUUUUCCGAAGAUCACGCCACGAAAUAAUCUAAUGGAUACUAGCUUGGUAUAGCAAUAUUAUUCUCUUCACAUAUAAAGUGUCCUAAUUUGAUAUGUACACAUGACAUCCCAUUUAUGAAAUAUUUAUUAGUAGUAGUAGUAUUCCCCAUGGUUAUGCAUGCAGCACAUCAUUUAAGUGUACCCUAAAUGAUGGAGACCAGGAUAUAGUGAAUGUCCAGUAUUUAGAGUAGAUUCUAUGAAUAGCACUCAGGUUCCCCAUUAUGAAUGCCAUGCAAAC